AGUGAUUUUUCUUAUUCAAAUUUGCUGCAUUGUGCAUAUGAGGAAGAUUUUUGCAAGGAACCCAUGGUGUGCUCUGCUCUGCUUCAUAGUACUACUAUUCCUGUCACAAUGUUAAUGAAAAUUUAUAGCAACUUCAUGGAAGCAAGGCUGUUGAAGGCUAAGAUUACCCGAGAAUGAAGAUUUGAGCCAUGUUGCAAAUGAUGAAACACUGACCACCUAAGCCACAUCGAGAGUAACUUCAGAAGUCAAAGGUCUCCAAAAGCAAAGAUAGAAGCUAUAGAUGAACUCAAUAGGGAACCAUCCACACAGAAUGAGUUGAAAUGUACCAUGGGAGCUGCAUUUGAAGAUAGACUUUCUGGGUCAGGUUGGAGUACAGUGUUAAAUGUUAAAUGUCAAACAACUAUCCAUACAAGCCAAGUUCCCCUACAAUUUCAGCAAGGUCUGAAAUCUACAGAUUACAGUCAGUAAUUGUCACAUCUGAUCCAAUUUCUUACCAUAACCAUACAAGACUGCUUCAAGGAACUGAAGUAGUAU
rnacentral:lncRNA from 1 species